rnacentral:lncRNA from 10 species
CGCACUCCAGGCAAGAGCAUGUGAAAUGGAGGAACCAUCGCUUUGGAGGAAAAAAAAAAUCAGGCUGGAAAGGGUGGUGGGUGUUUAAGGAGUUAACUCUAUUGCUUGGUAGAUGGUGCUUGAUUCCAUUUUUAAUGGGGAUUAUUUCCAAACCAGCAGUCACAGGAACAUGCUGCUUUUAGAUUUGCUUUGUCGCAACUCACAGAGCCCCCGAAGCUGCUCCCCCAGAUUGAUAUUGUGAACAUCAGCGACAGCUUUGAGAUGACCUAUAGAUCUUGUCCGGCUGAAAGGUCUUCAGUGGCAAUAGCACGCAUGGAGCUGUCAUCACCUAUAACACUGCCUUCUUCUGGAAUACCUCCUGAAGGACUUGCCUGAGGCUAUUUUACAGCUACCUUUUUUUAUAAGUAGAAAGAGUGCACUGUAAAAUAACAACAUAUAUAGUAAAUGUAUAAACCAGUUACAUAACUGCUUAUUAUCAAGUAUUAUGUACUGUACAUGACUGUAUGUGUUAUACUUUUAUAUACAACCACAGCACAGUAGGUUUGUUUAAGCCAGCAUCACCACAAACACAU